GAUCCUGGCUCAGGAUGAACGCUAGCUACAGGCUUAACACAUGCAAGUCGAGGGGCAGCAUGAACUUAGCUUGCUAAGUUUGAUGGCGACCGGCGCACGGGUGAGUAACGCGUAUCCAACCUACCCUUGUCCAUCGGAUAACCCGUCGAAAGGCGGCCUAACACGAUAUGCGGUUCACCGCAGGCAUCUAACGUGAACGAAAUGUGAAGGAGAAGGAUGGGGAUGCAUCUGAUUAG
rnacentral:rRNA from 1 species